rnacentral:misc_RNA from 1 species
CAAGGUGCAGAGACAGGACUACGCUUUGCUUGCAAAUCAAGUCACUGUGCUUUGUCCUCGCGACAAGUUUCGGCAGCAAAUUGACGGUACUUCUGAUCCUUUAAGAUUACAUUAAGCUUAAAAUGAGUGAGGGAAACAAUUAUGAUCAACUGAGAUCCCCUGCUUCUAAUGGUGACAACGUGGACGGCAUUGGGUUGGUCAACCUUGGAGUUGAGAGUGAUGUUAGCCCACCAACUACACCAGAAUCCAGAAAAUUGCGCAGUAUGGUAAGACAUGCAAGCUUGAACGUUAAGCGCAGAAAGGAUUUCUCUCAGGAUGGGGAUAAAGACCGGAAAGCUUUCUUAAGAUGUACAAGCGUAAACCUUAAAUAUAGAAAGGUUUCCACUCAGGGUCUCUCUAGAGGCUUGAGCUUUGGAGGUAACACAUUUCACAUGCGUAAUGAGGACGAGGAUCAUAAAAUUGAAUCCCUCAAAGAUUUUAUAAGCAAAGGGGAAAAAAGUUCUUGGGACGAUAUAAAGAACGUAGUCACAGCAGAUGCCCUAUGCAAAGAAAAAGAUCCUCUAGAUAAGGCAUUUGAGGUUCAUGAAAAACUUUGUCACAUUGCUAAAACAAGUACGGAAAAAACGAAAGCGAUUGAAAAGUUAGCUCAUCGAGUGGAAGACUUUGCAUAUGAUUUAUUGGAUCAAGUAAAGCGAAGGGAAGAAAAAGAGAUACAUGAUAAAGGAGCAGACCGCUACACCUCCCUGUUCAGCAAAAUAACGUUAAACGCAAUAGUUAAAGGACGGCAAAAGUUUGUAUCCCAUCCAUUCAUUUUCAAAAGAGUAGAGAGACGAUGGAAACUUGGCCUAUCGAAGAAUUUUCGUUCUCGACUACCUUAUCAGAUUCUUCUCUUCCUGAUCAUGAUGCUUGACGCAAUACUUACUCCAGUUCUGCUCCCAUUCACUGCUUACGUUGCAUACCAAGACCAGCAGGGGCACCUCAGAGAACAGAGUGUAAGUGAAGCGAAUUCGCCUGGAAACAAAAGGAAAAAGAGAUCGAGGUUGACCAAAAUCUUAGUCAUUCACAGAGAUUACCUCGAGACUCCCUACGUCAUUUUCAUGAAGACUCAAUUUAUGCAACUGGUAUUCAUUGGACUCUUCUUCCGGAUAUCUAUGAUUGGUUCGUCUGUGGCUCCAACCUUUGAGGAGUACUCGAUAUUACUCUUCUUUUGUGGAUUUGUUCUUGGUGAGAUCCAACAGUAUCGAAGUUCAGCAUCGAUGGUUUAUUUCAGAGACAUGUGGAACUACUUGGAUGUACUGAUAAUGCUCGUUUACGCCUUCGUCUUUAGCAGUCGCGUAGCAACUAUCAUUAUUGCUGGUGAUCCCUUUAACAAUCGCUUAUUGGAACUCGCUCAUUAUGGUUAUGGAUUCGACGCCAUGCUCCUAACUCUAAGAUUCUCCAGCAUCCUGGAGCUCAGUUCAGUUAUCGGUCCAUUACAACUGGCGCUGUUUCGAAUGUGUCUUGACUUACUGGUCAUACUUAUCCAGUUUGGUUUUGUCAUUGUUGCAUUCUCACUGGCCAUCACAAAGUGUUACGCAGCCGAGACAUCCUUCCUGACGCCCUUGAACAAUGGAUCAAAUCACGUAGAGUACUGCGUUGAAGGCAGUUUGAAUUGCUUUUUCAAGUCUGCAAGACAGCUGGUCUGGUCUAUAUUUGGAAUGACCCAUUUCGAGGAGAUGGAAUCCUUCACUAGUUUGACUUCGGACAUCGUUGUUUUUCUGUACUUGGUUUUCUUGGUUUUGUCAGUUAUCAUGUUGGUUAAUAUCUUGGUAGCCUUGUUGACAACCACAUAUGACAAAUACAAGACUAACGCAGAAAUCGAGUGGAAAUUCUCACGCGCAGUCGUUGAGGAACAGUACAGACGCAUGCACUUAGUUGUGGUCCCGUUCAACAUAAUUUCAGAGCUAAUCAAGGCUUUGUAUUUUGCUAAAUAUCCGGAUCGUCGAGACAAGGGAAAGGAUGAACGGAACCUGGAAUACCAGAAGUUCUUACAAGAAAGGUUUUUCCCAGAGUUAACUUUGCGCUACUGGAGAAAAUAUAACGGAUCAUUUCCAUUAACAGUCGACAGAAAACUAGAUACACUGAGAGAAAAAAUUGAGUCUGCGAAAAAGGAUCUCAGUCAAAUGAAGAAGAAAGCUCAGAGGGUAAUUAACCUGGAGGAAAAGCUUGAAUUUGUAAUAAAACAACUCCAAAGGAUAUCAAACGGAGUUCCGAAAGAGGAUAAGGGAAAAUCGAAGAAAGAGUUAACAUUUAUCGUAGACAAUGGAGAAACGAAGUCAUCAUCAGAUAACAGGACACUGAUGACCUCAAUGGUGGAAGUACAAAUACGUGCACCGCGAGGGGAGCAGGCUCAGAAAGAAACAGAAGAUCAAAUCAUCGGAACCCCUCAAAUGCAAAGCACCACAGAGGAAUAUGUGUGAAUCAAUCGAUAUUCCUGAUGACUAAUUCCAUGCAAUGGAAGUUGCUUUGAGUCACCUAAAUAUGAACUGAAUUUGCAGAAAUGCGUGUGUGUAAACUUGACUUUGAAAAAAAUUUGAACAUUAUUGCAAAUUGUUCGGCCUAGGGAGAAAUCAGUCGCAUCGAGGUCGCAUCGGGUCAGCCUUUUAAAUUUUCAUUCUUUAAAACUGUCACAGAAAUUACUUCAUUUAUCCCAGGACUCCUUCGCUCAUUGUGUCUCUUAAUUUCGGAGUUGUCGAAGUUCGAGAUUUUUCUUCUAUUGUUUUAAGCAAAGGAGAGUUUAUGAAGUUUGUAAUCGCCCUCAAUCAGCAGAUCGGUAGACGGCAUGACACAUACAUUACUGAUGAUGACUAAUUUCGUCAAAGGCGAAAGUAACUGCAUUUUGAUUAGUGUAAUUAAAUACAACCAGCGUGUUUUUUUCUUUGUUUUGUUUUGUUUUGUUUUUUUUUUACAGGGAGUUUUACAGAGAGUAAUUAAAUUGAAUUGUAGAAGGAAGACGAGGUACAGAGACACUGAGAACCCCGUUCUGCUUCCAAAUCAAGUCACUGCGAUUUGUCCACGCGACAAGUUUUAG